UUGAUCUAACUUGUGGUUGCGAGCGUCUAACUCAGAUUUGGGUCCUAGUAGAGCGCCACCAACCAAAAUGCUUUGGCCUUCCACUUCCCUUAGUCUCUUCUUGCUGACCGCGAACUCCUCACAAACGUGCUUACCCUUGUCUUCCAAUGUGUGGUUACGUUCCUUAGCACAACCGAGUUGGACUCUUAGCUGAGUGUUUU
rnacentral:lncRNA from 1 species